rnacentral:lncRNA from 1 species
UUUUUUGCCUUGUCUUUUUCCUUUUCUUCCUUGGAGGGUUGUGGGACCGCAUACAUUUUUAUUAAGAAUUAUUUACAUCAUUGGUUCCCAACCUUUGUACUAUUUUUUAUUUUUGUCUCUAAUAUUUUUUUUGCAAUCAAAUUUCCGACCUCUUGAUUUCAUUGCGAUUACAUUCCAGCAGUUAAAAGAGGUGUUAAAUUAAACGAAAUUGCCAUGCUACUUAGAUUUUUUUUUGCAUGUCAAUUUUGGUGCCUAAACUUUAUAUAUUUUUCACUUUAGUCCUCAAAAAUAAAAAUUUAAAUUUUGAAUUUAAACUCAAAAUUAAUAAUAAAAUUAAAAUUUACUUUAUAAAUACGCUAAUUGGAACCUAAUGAAGGCCUUCCCUUAUUUUGGGGGGUUGUGGGGCCCACAAAUUUUUUUAGAAUAUUUUUAGGAUUAAUUGCAUAGUGCUCCCCAAACAUUCCACCAUUUUUUAUUUUGGUUCCUUUUUUUUUUGCAAUUAAGUUUUCAAACCUCUUAAUUUAUUGCGAUAAAAUAGCAACCGCUAAAAAAUAUUUAGAAUUAACGAAAUUAUCAUGCCAUUGCUUAUUUAACUUCUUUUGCAUGCCAAUUUUGAUUCUUAAAUUUUGCAUGAUUUUCACUUUAGUCCCCAAAACAUAUAUGAAUUGGCAAUCCUAAAGAAAGCCUCUCCUUAUUUUGGAGGGUUGUGGAGCCCACAAUUCUUUUAAGGAUUAAAUUAUAUAAUAAUAUAAUAAUAAUAUUAGAAUAUUUAUUUGGUAGUUGAAUCUUUUUGCGGUGUAAAAAAUAUCAAUUUUGAUUUCGAAUGCCUUUUGAUUAGUUUUAUUUUUUGUGCUUCUAAUAAUUACCUACUGAUUUCUUCAGUAAUGUAAAAUUUAGGAAUCGAAUACUUUAUUAGUUGUAUAUGUGACGAUAAAAGUUAAUGAGAGCACAACGAAGACGUUGCCGCCAAGAAUACCAAAGAUAGUACUUUUCACUCCAAUUAACUUUUUAAUAUUUUUUUAUUUCUAAAAUCUACCUUGAUGAUAAUACAAAAAUAUUAUUCAUCUUUCUUAAUACUGUAAUGAGCUUUUUUUUUAUUUUAAACUGAUUUUAUUCAUUUUACUUAUUAGAUUUAAAUGUUUUAAGAAAGAAAUAUAUUUUAAUUUCAUUCUUUAAUUUUUAAUUUUUCAAUACUGAGAUCAAUGAUAUUUAAAAAUAUUAAUGCAUGAUAGGAAAAAAAGUUAAUGUUAAUAGUUAUAAUAAUUUACUAUUGUAUUGUCUUCCCGCCGUAUCGCGCGGGGCUCCUUAACUAGUGGAUAAUUAUUCUUUAUAAACGCCUUUUUGAAAUAACCCUUAAAAAUUACUCUUUUUUUAUUUAGCAUCUCCUUAAUUUUUAUUUAUUUUAUUUUAAGUAAAAUUUUCAAUAAAUAAAUUAGGACUAUAUGCGAAGUGUUCGCAUCCUCCAUUCUAUGAUGAUAUAGUGUUUUAGAAAUGUAAGACCCCGGGUAGUCUUAUAUAUAAAAUAUAAUAGGAAAAAACUCUUAACCCAGCUUAAGCAUUUUGGGUGGUGGCUAGGCCUAAGAGAUUAAGAGAGUUAAGCGUGCUAGGACUCGAGUAGUCCUAGGAUGGGUGACCCCUUGGGAAGCUGGGGCGUCACAGAUGAUAUCAGAGCCAAUUACCAACCGAAAGUGUGAGAUCAGUCUCGGCUGAGCCAUGAUUGGAAAGCAGGAAGUAGGGGUGGAAACGAGCCGAGCUCGAGCGAGCUUACCUCUGCUCAAGCUUGGCUUGAAAUUAAUUUCGAGUCUAAAUUUAGGCUCAAGCUUGGCUUGAAAUUAAUUUGAGCCGAGCUUGAGCGAGCCUAACUUUGAGUCGAGUGAGCCCGAGCCCUAAACGAGCUGCUUAAAAUUCUUAACAUCGUGCAAUCUCUAGUUUAAUUUUUAUAAAAUAUUAUCUAAAGUUUGAUAUAAAAAAUAUCUAAUAGUUUACGUACGAAAUGAAUGCAUGAAAUACGAUAUUAUAAUACUAAAAAAUUUAGGAAAAACCACUCUGUGGGGAAGUGAAAAAGAGAGAAAGAGAGCAAUUAGAGUAGGAUUUUGCUGGUUUGAUUUUGUGGGCCCAAUAAUCUAAAUUCUAUAUACAUAUAAUUAAAAUACAUAAUAUAUAUUUUUUAUAUAUUAAAAUAUAUAGUAUAUAUAAUUAUAUUUAGAGAGAGUUUGGCUACUAUAUAUACUUUUAUGAGUAUAAACUCCUUUAUACUCAUAAGUUUUUGAUCCGUUAGAUCUAUCCUUUUGCCCAUUUCCAUCCGUUAAAUCAUACUAUUCAACGAACCGCCCACUGAAUCUUAGGAGACCACUAUCAUUCUAAUCACACAUUCAACGGCUGAAAAUUUAUGGUAUCAUUUGGUUCGAGGAUAAGGAAAAAGUGGCUAUUCCAGGGAUAGGUAUAAAUUGAGGUAUAAGCAGGGAUUACAUCAAUUUUGCGUUUGGAUGAAAAUUGGGUUAUUCCUGGGAAUAAAAAAAAUAGCAUUUGGUUAGGUAAGAUGGAAUAAGAAAGAUAGUGGGUUUUAUAGAAAAAAAUAAUCAUAUUAUCCUCUUAUUAUAUUUGAAUUUAAAUUUUUAAAAUUUUAAAUAUAUAUUUUUAAAUUAAAAAUUUUAACUUUGAAAUUUCAAAUUUUGAAAUUUAAAAUCUCAAAUUUUAAAUUCAAAAUUUUAAAUUUUAAAUUUUAAACUUUAAAUUUAAGAUCAAAUUUAAAUUUGAAAAAUAUAAAAUAUAAAAUUUUAAAUUUCAAAAUUAAAAUAUAAAAAUUUAAUUUUAAAAUUUAAAAUUUAAAAUUAUAAACUUUAAUUUUGAGAUUAUAAAUUAUAAAUUUUAACAAUUUAAAUUUUUAAUUUUUAAAAUUUUAAAAUAAGAAUAGGGGUGGGAACAAUUAAUAAAAACUAUUUAUUAUAAUAAAUUUAUAAAUUUUUUUAAAAUUCUACUUAAACUUAAAUUUAAUAAAAAGAAUUUAUUAUAAUAUUUAAAUAUAAUUUACUAUAAAUUUUAUUAUAAUAUUUAAAUAUAAAUAAUAAUUAUUAAUAUAGUACAAUUAAUAAUUUUAUAAUAAAAAUAAUGUAUUAUAAUAUAUAAAUUUUAAAAAAUUAAAUUUUUAAUUUUUAAAUUUUUAAAAUAAGAAUAGGGGUGGGAACAAUUAAUAAAAAUAAUUUAUUAUAAUAAAUUUAUAAAUUUUUUUAAAAUUCUACUUAAACUUAAAUUUAAUAAAAAGAAUUUAUUAUAAUAUUUAAAUAUAAUUUACUAUAAAUUUUAUUAUAAUAUUUAAAUAUAAAUAAUAAUUAUUAAUAUAGUACAAUUAAUAAUUUUAUAAUAAAAAUAAUGUAUUAUAAUAUAUAACAUAUUAUAUUUAUAUAAUUUAGUUUUAAUUCAAUUUAUAAUUUUAAUUAAGUUUGAAAUUAAGCAUUGGAAUAGUGCUAUUCCACCAAAAUGGUGGAAUAGCAAAUCCCUUGCUAUUCCGGGAUAACUGGGAAUAGCAAGGUUUGACCGGGAUAAAAUAUCCCAGCCAAAUUUCACCCUGUUUGGCGGAAUAGCGGGGAUAACUUUCGUUAUCCCCGCUUAUUCCCCCAACCAAACGAGGCCUAUAAGUAUAAAAAGAUCUAUACUUAUCAGAGUAUAGUAACCCGAGCCAAUAUAUAUAUAGAAUUAGGCUACUAUACUAUUAAUAGUACAAAUCGCUUGCUAUUAGGUUUUCGGCCCUUGGAUGAAGGGAUAUGCGGUCAAAAUGAUGGUAACCCCCUAGGGUUGAGUGGGUGGCUAGUUGAAUAGUAUGAUCUAACGAAUGAAAAUCGCCAAAGGGAUAGAUCUAACAGCAGAAAAUUCGAUUGCACCAAAUGCUUGGUACUAUCGAUAAUAUAAUAGCCGAACUCUAUAU